UACGUAGGGUGCAAGCGUUGUCCGGAAUUAUUGGGCGUAAAGAGCUCGUAGGCGGUUUGUCGCGUCUGCUGUGAAAACUCGGGGCUUAACUCCGGGCCUGCAGUGGGUACGGGCAGACUAGAGUGCGGUAGGGGAGACUGGCAUUCCUGGUGUAGCGGUGAAAUGCGCAGAUAUCUGGAGGAACACCGGUGGCGAAGGCGGCAUCCUGGACCAACACUGACACUGAGGAGCGAAAGCCAGGGGAGCAAACGGG
rnacentral:rRNA from 1 species